GCGGGCGUGGCGGAAUGGUAGACGCCGGGGACUUAAAAUCCCCUGAGCAUUGCUCGUGCGGGUUCAAGUCCCGCCGCCCGCACCA
rnacentral:tRNA from 1 species